rnacentral:rRNA from 1 species
AGUCGUAACAAGGUCUCCGUAGGUGAACCUGCGGAGGGAUCAUUACACAAAUAUGAAGGCGGGCUGGAACCUCUCGGGGUUACAGCCUUGCUGAAUUAUUCACCCUUGUCUUUUGCGUACUUCUUGUUUCCUUGGUGGGUUCGCCCACCACUAGGACAAACAUAAACCUUUUGUAAUUGCAAUCAGCGUCAGUAACAAAUUAAUAAUUACAACUUUCAACAACGGAUCUCUUGGUUCCGGCAUCGAUGAAGAACGCAGCGAAAUGCGAUAAGUAGUGUGAAUUGCAGAAUUCAGUGAAUCAUCGAAUCUUUGAACGCACAUUGCGCCCUUUGGUAUUCCAAAGGGCAAGCCUGUUCGAGCGUCAUUUGUACCCUCAAGCUUUGCUUGGUGUUGGGCGUCUUGUCUCUAGCUUUGCUGGAGACUCGCCUUAAAGUAAUUGGCAGCCGGCCUACUGGUUUCGGAGCGCAGCACAAGUCGCACUCUCUAUCAGCAAAGGUCUAGCAUCCAUUAAGCCUUUUUUUCAACUUUUGACCUCGGAUCAGGUAGGGAUACCCGCUGAACUUAAGCAUAU